CACGUAGGGCGCGAGCGUUGUCCGGAAUUAUUGGGCGUAAAGAGCUCGUAGGCGGUUUGUCGCGUCUGCCGUGAAAGUCCGGGGCUCAACUCCGGAUCUGCGGUGGGUACGGGCAGACUAGAGUGAUGUAGGGGAGACUGGAAUUCCUGGUGUAGCGGUGAAAUGCGCAGAUAUCAGGAGGAACACCGGUGGCGAAGGCGGGUCUCUGGGCUGUAACUGACGCUGAGGAGCGAAAGCGUGGGUAGCGAACAGG
rnacentral:rRNA from 1 species